rnacentral:lncRNA from 1 species
UCAAAGAAGUGGGUGCUAUCGGCAGAAGAAAUAUCUAACCCGGUGAGCAUAGCCACAUCGGCAAGAGUGGGGGAAACAAGGCCAUGGCCAAAGACAAAGGCAUUGAGCGUGUCUGACCAGAAGUAUGAUGCAGCUAUCAGCAGUGACUCGUUCCUAUGCAUAUCGGCAAUAGACAACCUAAUGCAUUGGGCUAGAUUUCUUUCACCCCAUUGGACUUCAUUUGAGUUCCUGACUCUCAGAAACCAAUCUGUCCACCCCACGGUAGGGCUGGGCCAGGAACGAAAAGUGUCCUUCCAUAGAUCCAAGGAAAAGUUCUCUGCCCUGAAAGGGAUCCUGUUGGUUUCUGCGUUUAUGAGAUCGAUUGGAUCUGGAUCCCCUAACGGGCCAAGGCAUUGGAGAUGUGGUCGAUCAGUGGGGAUGACAAUUUUGUUAGCCGAUUCCUAAUGGUUUUGGAGAUAUAAAAAAGAAAAAGGGAAAAAAAUAUUGAGUACGGCGGAUUGCAGGUGAACGAGGGUGCGAGAAAAGUACAAGAGAUGGUGCGAAGGACUGACCUUGGGGAUGAUGAAGUUGAUGGCCAUUUUGCCACAGAGGAGAAGAUUGAGAGUUUUGGAGUUGGUGAGGAAGGAGCCUCGUCGGAGAUCUUGGAGCUUUUUGGAACAGUGCCGCCGCCGGAAAGGUGAGGUUGGAGUUGUAGAAUGAUGUGAUGGAGAAGGAGUACCCGAGAAGGAACUACUUAUAAGACAAAACGGGCAGGGGUAAAUCUGACUUAUCUCUUUGCCGCAUCCGAGAAAUCAGAGGGUGCUCAGGUAGAUAUGGUAACUGUUUGCACGGUAAUCAAGGGAUUGUGCAGGUGAUUUGACAGGAAACGGUCAUUAUUCAGAGAUAUUUCACUGUGCGAGAUCUCCUGAUCGGUCCAUCGACGGUGCCCUGUAACGGUCAUAUUGCCGAUGGGCAAAUAAAAUGGAGAUAACCGUUUGGGG